AAUUAAUAAGCUAAUAGCAUAUGUUUUGAAAACAUAAAUUAGAAGUUAAAAUCUUCUAUUAAUUU
rnacentral:tRNA from 1 species